rnacentral:rRNA from 1 species
GUGCCAGCAGCCGCGGUAAUACAGAGGGUGCAAGCGUUGUCCGGAAUGAUUGGGCGUAAAGCAUCUGUAGGUGGUUUCUAAAGUCAACUGUCAAAUCCCAGAGCUCAACUUUGGACAGGCAGUUGAGUACUUAGGGACUUGAGUGUGGUAGGGGUAGAGGGAAUUCCUAGUGGAGCGGUGAAAUGCACAGAGAUUAGGAAGAACACCAGUGGCGAAAGCGCUCUACUGGGCCACGACUGACACUGAGAGAUGAAAGUUGGGGGAGCGAAAAGGAUUAGAUACCCUCGUAGUCC